UCCAACAUGUAGAGUUUGUUUGGGAAGGUGGGUGGAACUUAUGGCUGCUACAGUAUGUGAUUUGCUACCGUAUAGUAUUGAAGUAGCUAUGUAUGAGCAUGUUCUCACUGCGGAGUUCUAUAAUCCUGUUUGUGUUUGCUCCUAAUCAGCAGAGUGUUAUUUGUACAUAUGCAAGUGAAGCAGUUUUAAGAAAGGAAUUUUAUUCAGUGCUGGACCAACAUAACUCCUCUUGUUCCUUUUGAAUCAGGGCACUGACAUCUGCUGUGAGGGUCAGCAAAAUAUAGUGACUCUAGAUCAUGAGGGUCAGACAAAACAAUAAAUGGUGCAGGUCUGCCUUAGAUCACUGCGAGAUUCUCUCAUCCUCCUGCUUUGCCAGACUAACAGUUGGAGCUACAAUUUUACAUGCCAAAUGUCUGCCUCAAGCUGAAGUUUUUGGGGAAGUUUCAGGAAAAAAAUGGUUCAGCUAUUUCUGAGAAAUAGAUCAGGGAAGAGAUUUAGAACUGACCUGUCCAGAGGGCCAAGUCACAAGAGGAAGCAGCCACCAUCCCAAAAGGGAGAGAACUGCCGUGCCACAGCCAGAUGUGAAGAGGCACAACAAGAAAGCAUUUGAGCUAACAGCAUGGAUAAAAAGUUAAGAGAAAAGAAAACAAAUUAAAACAAACAAGCAAACAACAGCAACAACAAAAACCCACACUUUCUGGACGGAAGCUGCAAAUAAAAACAAAACAAGACAACGACAGCAAGGAAACAUUAUCAACUUUUCAAUCAUUUAUAUUAGAAGUUUCAGUACAUUUUGGCAAGAAUGCUAGAUAUUGUCAACAAGGGUCAUGACUGCUGACAAGAGGGGGUGCUACUACCCCUGAAAUGGAUCUUUAUCGGCUCCUGGUGUCAUACCAGUGAAAAAAGACCACAGUAAUUAUUUUCAAUGCAAGCAGUUUAUUGAGAAGGAAUUUAAACA